GGCCCUGAGCCAGAAUACAGGAAGGCCCUUGGCUGAAGGAGUCCCUGGAGGGAGCUCUUCCUCUGAGCCAGCCAAGUCACAGGACACAAGUGCCUCCAUAAGAUAUUCUGAUGGUGUUCUCACACUCGUGGACCCUCAUGUCACAGCAGAAGUCCUUGAAGCUGAGGAAACAGAUGAAGAGGACACGUUGUCUGCUGCCACAGAAAGGGAUCCAGAGAGACCUACAGAAGUAGGAUAUUACCACUAUGUUACUGAUAGUCAUCUCCACAUUCACAAUUCUUAACACUGCUGUGUGGUAUUAACAUCCAGAUUCUUUGCGUCGCAUUACGUUUUUUUGCAAACAGCAGUUUUCUUUAUAACAUUGGUGAUGCGGAUCAUA